rnacentral:lncRNA from 1 species
UUCCUUAUCUGAAGGGUUUUUUGUAUCUUGUUGUAUCUUAGAUAUCCCAAUAAUCUUAGUGAAGCUUUAUAUAAAUAAGAUUGCUAUAUAUUUGUAUUUAUUGGCAGCUUGUUGAUUAGUAAUCAUGGCCAAGUCCAAGAAUCACACCGCACAUAAUCAAACCAGAAAAGCUCAUCGUAAUGGAAUUAAAAAGCCUUUGAGAAAUAAAUAUCCUUCAUUAAAAGGGGUUGAUCCAAAGUUCUUACGCAAUCUUCGGUUCGCCAAAAAACAUAAUAAGAAGUCUGUGGCAAAAUAACCAUGUAAAACGGUGUUAAAAAUAAAAGUACUUGGAUAAA